rnacentral:rRNA from 1 species
ACACCGGCAGCUCAAGUGGUAGCCGCUUUUAUUGGGCCUAAAGCGUCCGUAGCCGGUCUGAUAAGUCUCUGGUGAAAUCCCACAGCUUAACUGUGGGAAUUGCUGGAGAUACUAUCAUGACUCGAGGUCGGGAGAGGCUGGAGGUACUCCCAGGGUAGGGGUGAAAUCCUGUAAUCCUGGGAGGACCACCUGUGGCGAAGGCGUCCAGCUGGAACGAACCUGACGGUGAGGGACGAAAGCCAGGGGCGCGAACCGGAUUAGAUACCCGGGUAGUCCUGGCCGUAAACGAUGGGGACUUGGUGUUGGGAUGGCUUCGAGCUGCCCCAGUGCCGAAGGGAAGCUGUUAAGUCCACCGCCUGGGAAGUACGGCCGCAAGGCUGAAACUCAAAUGAAUUGGCGGGG